rnacentral:tRNA from 2 species
UGACCACUAGCUCAAAUGGCAGAGCAGUUGAUUGUUAAUCAAUGAGUUCCAGGUUCGACUCCUGGGUGGUCAG